rnacentral:rRNA from 1 species
ACGAAAAAUAACGAUACGGGACUCAUCCGAGGCCCCGUAAUCGGAAUGAGUACACUCUAAACCCUUUAACGAGGAUCAAUUGGAGGGCAAGUCUGGUGCCAGCAGCCGCGGUAAUUCCAGCUCCAAUAGCGUAUAUUAAAGUUGUUGCGGUUAAAAAGCUCGUAGUCGAAUUUGUGUCCCGCGCCGCCGGUUCAUCGCUCGCGGUGUCAACUGGCGUGUCCGCGGGACGUCCUGCCGGUGGGCUUAGCCCCUGCGGGCGGCCCAAUCACAAUCCCACCGCGGUGCUCUUCACUGAGUGUCGAGGUGGGCCGGCACGUUUACUUUGAACAAAUUAGAGUGCUUAAAGCAGGCUAAAACAUCGCCUGAAUACUGUGUGCAUGGAAUAAUGGAAUAGGACCUCGGUUCUAUUUUGUUGGUUUUCGGAACCCCGAGGUAAUGAUUAAUAGGAACGGAUGGGGGCAUUCGUAUUGCGACGUUAGAGGUGAAAUUCUUGGAUCGUCGCAAGACGGACAGAAGCGAAAGCAUUUGCCAAAAACGUUUUCAUUGAUCAAGAACGAAAGUUAGAGGUUCGAAGGCGAUCAGAUACCGCCCUAGUUCUAACCAUAAACGAUGCCAGCUAGCGAUCCGCCGACGUUCCUCCGAUGACUCGGCGGGCAGCUUCCGGGAAACCAAAGCUUUUGGGUUCCGGGGGAAGUAUGGUUGCAAAGCUGAAACUUAAAGGAAUUGACGGAAGGGCACCACCAGGAGUGGAGCCUGCGGCUUAAUUUGACUCAACACGGGAAACCUCACCAGGCCCGGACACCGGAAGGAUUGACAGAUUGAGAGC